rnacentral:rRNA from 1 species
AUACGGAGGGUGCAAGCGUUACUCGGAAUUACUGGGCGUAAAGGACGCGUAGGCGGUUUAGAAAGUCAGAUGUGAAAGCCUAUGGCUUAACCAUAGAACUGCAUCUGAAACUCCUAGACUAGAGUGAGGGAGAGGUCAGUGGAAUUAGUGGUGUAGGGGUAAAAUCCGUAGAGAUCACUAGGAAUACUCAUAGCGAAGGCGACUGACUGGAACUUUACUGACGCUGAGGCGUGAAAGCGUGGGGAGCAAACAGGAUUAGAAACCCCAGUAGUCC